UACGUAGGGUGCGAGCGUUAAUCGGAAUUACUGGGCGUAAAGCGUGCGCAGGCGGCGCGUUAAGACAGGUGUGAAAGCCCCGAGCUUAACUUGGGAAUUGCGCUUGUGACUGGCGUGCUGGAGUGUGGCAGAGGGAGGUGGAAUUCCACGUGUAGCAGUGAAAUGCAUAGAGAUGUGGAGGAACACCGAUGGCGAAGGCAGCCUCCUGGGCCAGCACUGACGCUCAUGCACGAAAGCGUGGGGAGCAAACAGG
rnacentral:rRNA from 1 species